CGUUGCAUCGCUGACAUUGCCGUGAAUUUGAAUACAAUUCAAAUAAAAAGCAAACGGGUUGAAGCACAAGGCUUAAGAAGAUCAUGUAUGCCAGAGCUGUGUGGGUGGAGCAUGGUAAAGAAGUGGAGGGAACUGCACCAGACAACUGGAUUGAUGCUGAAAAAAAAUCAUUAGAUGGCCAAAAAAGGGGGAAAAGGCAGCUUUCCUCAAUCGGCACUCCCCUCAGGAUGACUGGAUGACGUUCACCUUGGUGAAGCGUAAAAUGACCUCCGGUAAGUUUUUGUUAAUUUAAUUAGAUUCUUUGUCAAAAUAAAAAUUGUAAGGCAGCCAAAUGAGAAAAAUCAAGUCAAACUUGGGUCAAUCUAGUCAAACCCGUAGUCAAAGUGAUAGUAAAGUUGUUUUUAUUGUAAUUGUAUUGUCUAUGAUUUAAACUUUACAGAUAGCAUUCGUGAAUGCAAUGAUUAUGACAUGAUGAGUCAUGUCGAGGAGGAAGAUGAGGAAGCAGGACCGAGGAAAAAAACUAAACGUAACUUUGAUGACUAUGUUCUUGGUAUGCUUCUAUGAUAAUUGUUGGAUUUGUAUUGAGAAUCAAAGUCUAUACACUAAAUUAAUAUGGGGCCCUCAAUUUUCAGGUCACUUUUUUAACUGAUAAUUAGUGCAUGUUAUAAAAAACAUAAAUGUGUACAAUUACAGAAUCUGACGAUUUGGAGGAGGAAGAAGAGAACAUGACAGAUGCCAUUAUCAAGGUGCCCUCCUUUCCCAUUCCACCAACAAAGGUGACAAAGUCCAUCCAGAUGGAGUCUGCUGGAUUUAACAAAAAGUCCACUGGUACUUAGUAUCCAUUACUUAAAUAUACUAAUUUCUUUCAGAUUUUUUUCUUGCAUAAUUAUAACAUGAUGUGGUUACGAAAUCAUUGUUAAUAAUGUACAUUUGCUAAUUUUCAGACUCUGGACACUCUAAUUUAGCCAGGUCUCACCAGACAGGUGUUGGGUCCAGGGACAGGUCCACAGGCAGUUAGUAAUCGUCAUAUUAAACCAGUCAUCUCAAAUACCAACUCAUUUUAUCAACCAAAAAACAUUUAAUCAACCACAUUGUGGGUGAAUACAGUUGAGGCAUUUUUUUUCUUUUAUUAACUCAGAGUUUAAUUUUUUAGACCCUGGACAUUUAAACAUAAACCGAGCCAGCCAGUUGAGGGGUGCUUGGUCCAGUCAUCAGUCCAGCCACAGUGAUGUAUCCCAGCACAGUGAUGUAUCCCAGCGGAGUGUCGGGUCCCAGCACAGCAAACGGUACCGACACAGGAAGCAGUCCAGGCACAGCGACCGGUCCAGGGACAGCAACCAGAUGGGACAAGGCAAGCACUCAAGGCACAGCGAUUUUGUCCAAGGACAGUAUUCAUUUAAACCUUUAUGCGGUUCACAGAGUCAAGAAUGUAAAUGUUCUAAAGUAGUG
ensembl:lncRNA